GACGAACGCUGGCGGCGUGCUUAACACAUGCAAGUCGAACGAUGAAGCCUAGCUUGCUAGGUGGAUUAGUGGCGAACGGGUGAGUAAUACGUGAGUAACCUACCUUUAACUCUGGGAUAAGCCCGGGAAACUGGGUCUAAUACCGGAUACGACCAAUCUCCGCAUGGGGUGUUGGUGGAAAGCGUUAUGUAGUGGUUAUAGAUGGGCUCACGGCCUAUCAGCUUGUUGGUGAGGUAACGGCUCACCAAGGCGACGACGGGUAGCCGGCCUGAGAGGGUGACCGGCCAAACUGGGACUGAGACACGGCCCAGACUCCUACGGGAGGCAGCAGUGGGGAAUAUUGCACAAUGGGCGCAAGCCUGAUGCAGCGACGCCGCGUGAGGGAUGACGGCCUUCGGGUUGUAAACCUCUGUUAGCAGGGAAGAAGAGAGAUUGACGGUACCUGCAGAGAAAGCGCCGGCUAACUACGUG
rnacentral:rRNA from 1 species